rnacentral:rRNA from 1 species
AAGCUUGCUUCUUUGCUGACGAGCGGCGGACGGGAGAGUAAUGCCUGGGAAUAUGCCUUAGUGUGGGGGAUAACUAUUGGAAACGAUAGCUAAUACCGCAUAACGUCUACGGACCAAAGAGGGGGACCUUCGGACCUCUCGCGCUAAGAUUAGCCCAGGUGGGAUUAGCUAGUUGGUGGGGUAAAGGCUCACCAAGGCAACGAUCCCUAGCUGGUCUGAGAGGAUGAUCAGCCACACUGGAACUGAGACACGGUCCAGACUCCUACGGGAGGCAGCAGUGGGGAAUAUUGCACAAUGGGGGAAACCCUGAUGCAGCCAUGCCGCGUGUAUGAAGAAGGCCUUCGGGUUGUAAAGUACUUUCAGUCGUGAGGAAGACAUUGUGGUUAAUAGCUGCCGUGUUUGACGUUAGCGACAGAAGAAGCACCGGCUAACUCCGUGCCAGCAGCCGCGGUAAUACGGAGGGUGCGAGCGUUAAUCGGAAUUACUGGGCGUAAAGCGCAUGCAGGCGGUUAGUUAAGCGAGAUGUGAAAGCCCGGGGCUCAACUCUCGGAACAGCAUUUCGAACUGGCUAACUAGAGUCUUGUAGAGGGGGGUAGAAUUUCAGGUGUAGCGGUGAAAUGCGUAGAGAUCUGAAGGAAUACCGGUGGCGAAGGCGGCCCCCUGGACAAAGACUGACGCUCAGAUGCGAAAGCGUGGGAGCAAACAGGAUUAGAUACCCUGGUAGUCUACGGCCGUAAACGAUGUCUACUGGGGAGUACGGUCGCAAGAUUAAAACUCAAAUGAAAUUGACGGGGGGGCCGCACCAAGCGGUGGAGCAUGUGGUUUAAUUUCGAUGCAACGCGAAGGAACCUUACCUACUCUUGACAUCCAGAGAAGCCAGCGGAGACGCAGGUGUGCCUUCGGGAGCUCUGAGACAGGUGCUGCAUGGCUGUCGUCAGCUCGUGUUGUGAAAUGUUGGGUUAAGUCCCGCAACGAGCGCAACCCUUAUCCUUGUUUGCCAGCACGUAAUGGUGGGAACUCCAGGGAGACUGCCGGUGAUAAACCGGAGGAAGGUGGGGACGACGUCAAGUCAUCAUGGCCCUUACGAGUAGGGCUACACACGUGCUACAAUGGCGUAUACAGAGGGCUGCCAACCAGCGAUGGUGAGCGAAUCCCACAAAGUACGUCGUAGUCCGGAUCGGAGUCUGCAACUCGACUCCGUGAAGUCGGAAUCGCUAGUAAUCGUGAAUCAGAAUGUCACGGUGAAUACGUUCCCGGGCCUUGUACACACCGCCCGUCACACCAUGGGAGUGGGCUGCACCAGAAGUAGA